CUGCAGCUGAGCAUUUGAAGCUCACCAUCACCCUUUUGCACGGAAAACAUGGUCCACAUGCAUGGGAACAGUCUGGGAGGUUGGAUCCUGUAGGAUAUAUUUAUUUUCUCACAAAAUGUUUGAUACGAAGUGGCGAGGAGACGAAGAAAACACGGUACCUCCUGGUGCGUUGAACUGCCUACUGGUCUCGGGUCGAUGCAUCAAGACGUCUUCCGAUCAUUAGUAUGAUGAAGAAAAUCCAGAAAAGUAGAGAAGUUUGAGCCACAAGUGGGAAUUUCCACAUUGCUGUUUGAUAAUGCAAAAGCCAAAAGGAUAUAAGAAGUGGUAGAGAUCCUAAAGGAGGAGAAAUAGACUGCAAAGUUUGUUGGAAAUGUUGGUGACAUAUGGUUUAGUAUGCAGUGGGCAUUUUAUGGUGUAAAAAUGGAAUAAAGGUUAGUUUUUAAUGUGGGAAGAGGUACAUCUGAUUCACCUCACAUGAUCCACGGCCCAUUUUGAAGGUUCACAUGUUUUCGCAAGUAAACUCAAAACACUUUCUGAAACUUUUAAUGAACUGUGGCAUUUGAUCUUAUACGUACGAAGGUACAUAUUUUUUACUCUUAAUAGAUCAAUUUUUGAAUUGCUGAAUCUUUGGGUCUGAUAUUUUGAAAAUUUAAGAGCAUUGUCCCUUGUUCAUGAGUGGAUUUAUCUUCCCGACGUUGUGUUACCUUUUGCUUGUAUGCCAUAUAACAUCGCUUUCAAACUCCCUUUUAAAAUCUCUCUGUCUUUGUUUUCUAAAACCUUCUUCUUAAAUCGAGGCUAGAGGCUUGAGCAUACAUUGCCCGGCCGUAGGUGACUUAAAUACAAAUUGGCUUGACUCACUAGCUGCUGAGAAGUGCGAUUGUGACAAGUGGAUACAUUUUUAUCUUCAUGUGUUGUGUUGCAAUGGUAGGUAGAUACAUUUAUAGUCAAUGUGGUUUCAGGUGUUCAGUCUAGGGGUCAUUUUCCAGUUGGAUAUUGCCAACAACGUAAGAUUGGGAAAUUCUGUACAUGUAAUUGAAGCUGCUUGAAUUGUCUAUGCUAUUUAAUGAUUUUUUAAUUUUUAUUUUUAUUGUAUCUUAAAAUUAUAAGUAUUAGAAGACCCUGUUUGAUAGGUUCUCCAGAUCCUUUUCUUUUCCAGAUAGAUGGAAUGAAAUGAAUUUAGAGCAUUUUCUGUUUAGUGGGUUUAUUUGUAAAAACAAUAUUCUGAUUAUGUUUGGAUUUUUAGUGUUCUUUAAGAUUUUUAAUUUGCAACCGAACUAUAAACCAAUUCUUUGUUUUCAUCCUCCUGUUUUUGCAGAUUUUUCUGGAGUUCAAAGGUCUCGACUCUUGGGCCCAUACCUUUCGGGAAUCCUUUUCCUUAUCAGGAUCGAAACUUAGAAAAAUGGUUGGGACAACAAACAUCCAGCUCGAGGAAGGGAAAUCGACUGACAGAGGACAUUUCUGUUUGUGGAUUCCCAACCAA